GGACCCUUAGCUCAAUCGGUAGAGCUUUGUACUUAUGAUGCAAGGGUCCCGAGUUCGAUUCUCGGAGGGUCCA